rnacentral:rRNA from 1 species
UCAGGAUGAGCGCUAGCGGCAGGCUUAACACAUGCAAGUCGAGGGGCAGCGGGAUGUAGCAAUACAUUGCCGGCGACCGGCGGAUGGGUGCGUAACGCGUAUGCAACCUACCUAUACAGGGAAUAACCUUUCGAAAGGGAGACUAACACCCCAUGGUAUUGAUUUAAGGCAUCUUAGAUUAAUUAAAUAUUUAUAGGUAUAAGAUGGGCAUGCGUAUGAUUAGCUAGUUGGUAAGGUAACGGCUUACCAAGGCGACGAUCAUUAGGGGUUCUGAGAGGAAGGUCCCCCACACUGGUACUGAGACACGGACCAGACUCCUACGGGAGGCAGCAGUGAGGAAUAUUGGUCAAUGGGCGCAAGCCUGAACCAGCCAUGCCGCGUGCAGGAAAAGACGGCCUUAUGGGUUGUAAACUGCUUUUACAUAAGACUAACCGUAUAUUUGCGAAUAUACCUGAAUGUAUUAUGAGAAUAAGGAUCGGCUAACUCCGUGCCAGCCGCUGC